AACGAACGCUGGCGGCAUGCCUAACACAUGCAAGUCGAACGAGACCUUCGGGCUUAGUGGCGCACGGGUGCGUAACGCGUGGGAACCUGCCCUUAGGUUCGGAAUGACUCCCCGAAUGGGGUGCUAAUACCGGCUAAUGUAUUCGGUCCAAAGGUUUAUAGCCGUUGGAUGGGCCCGCGUUGGAUUAGCUAGUUGGUAGGGUAAAAGCCUACCAAGGCGACGAUCCAUAGCUGGUUUGAGAGGCUGAUCAGCCACACUGGGACUGGGACACGGCCCAGACUCCUACGGGAGGCAGCAGUGGGGAAUAUUGGACAAUGGGCGAAAGGCUGAUCCAGCAAGGCCGGGUGAGUGAUGAAGGCCUUAGGGUUGUAAAGCUCUUUUACCCGGGAUGAUAAUGACGGUACCGGGAGAAUAAGCGCCGGCUAACUCCGUG
rnacentral:rRNA from 1 species